ensembl:lincRNA
CGGCAAAUGAAGGGGAACCUUCUGUGUGCUAAGAAAAGAGAAUAUGUAGGCUGCUGCCUUACGGGAAUCACAGAGGACAGGGAUCAUUCCCAGAAACUGCUUGGAUUGACUGAAAGGCGGUUUGUCACACCAGAGUGAGGGAUGAAGAGUGGAAAACUCCCUAUAAUUACCUCUUCAGUGUUCCUGAGAGAUUGCCUGUGUGCCCAGUGGAUUUGGGACAAUGUGUUGGCUGAUGAUGACGAGGAAAAUGAUUUCCAAUAAAUGAGAAGCCUGUUGCAGGAGGAGUAGACAUGAGGAGGUGGCGCUGAGCACUUCCACAUCAAAGAUAUUAGCUGGUUUCCAAAAUUAUCUGUGCGUUUUACAGUUAUUCAGGAAAUCUCUUCUCACAAUAAAUAGAUCCCCGGUGCGGCUUUGAAAGGCCAUGGCAUUCAUUUCAUUCCAUUUCACGGAGCCAGAGCAGCUUGUUGCACAGAUGAAAUGGCCAUUGGUUCUCCUGGAAGAGCUCCUCAUGACUGGCUUCCCCUACAUGAGUUUGGACAUUAUGAUCAGAGGAGCUCAGGACCUUGUUGGUGAGAAUGGCAGUGUUUCACUUUGGGCAGCUCUGGGCCUUACAUCGAGCAUCACUUCCUGGCCUUACAUCGAGCAUCACUUCCUGGCUCCAGAGAGGAAGAUGUGUGCAUUUAAUCUCCAGGAGAAGCUUGUCACACUGGCUUUCAGGCAUAUACUCAACUGUUCUCAUUGUUGGAGGAGCUUGGGACCCCUGUGUCACUGAGGAUGGCUGUGGUACUUUUCAGUGCAGCCCUGAUCUUUAUUUUGAGCAUGACUCCUCAGCUCCAGUGUAGUACCCUCAACCUACCAACGCAGCUCCUUCACCCCACUGGCAUAGACUUUCUAGCAUCUACCACGGACCUUUGGGCCUUCCCUGCACAGAUCUGUAGAAGAGUCUAGCAUGAGUCCUUGCGUGGCCUCUAGACCUCUAGACCUCACGGGAGGCAUUGUCCUUGGCUCUAGGUCUUCAGCUGAACUCGUGAAGGACAUUGCUGUGGGAUGAACAUUGGGAUGGACAUUGCUUGGCUGAAUAUUCUGAGUUUUAAUGUUGUGGACAGAUUUCCUGCACUUUCUUGUGUUUAACUCUGGG